CUGCACUUGCUUCGGCAGUACUAAAAUUGGAACGAUACAGAGAAGAUUAGCAUAGCCCCUGCGCAAGGAUGACACGCAAAAUCGUGAAGGGUUCCAGAUUUUU
rnacentral:snRNA from 1 species